rnacentral:lncRNA from 1 species
CUGGCGUGUGGCAGACAUCUACGUGGCAAACAUGUCCUCUCUGCUUGAGUUUUGUUGGUUAUCAAGUGAACGAAAGAGCCUCGAGGUAUUUGUACGUCUUGGCUAUUUGUUUUGGAGGAUGAUAUGCAUGGAACUCGGAAGUUCAGUUCAUUAUUUUUCUUGCUUGUAGCCACAUGUUGAUGUAAGAACAUGUAUUACCAUAAUUUGUUAAUUUUAAUCAUCUAAUAAUCAUACCUGUGAAAACACUAGCUUGGAUGCAGGUGAAGUUUGUAAUCUUCGGCUUUUUGCUUCAUGUACUAAAACCCCGUUGAACUAAAUUUAUCCAGGGUUCAAAUUCUUCAAUCGUCUAUAAGACACAAAUAUUUUUGAAUCUUUCAAUUCUUCUCAAGGUGUGAUGUCCACAUAUAUUCUGAUUUAAUAGUUUAAAAAUCUUUAAAGAUGGGCAUGUUUUUUACUCAUUUGACCCACACCCAAAAAAACUAGAACACCCUUCUUUCCCCCACAUUUCUCCAAAAUUGACAACAUUUUUUCAAAAUUAUUAUACUUUCUAAUUUGUUCUCCAUUUUGUAGUAAUAUAUCUCUUUUUAUAUGCAUGCAACAUUUAUAUCUUUAUCUAUUUUUUAGGUUGUAAAACUUUAAUGAGUAUGUUUAAGAGUUUUUUUUUUUCGUAAUGCUCGUGAGCACGAGCAAUUACUAGUGCUCUAAUAAGAAUGUUAUACCAAGUCUUGCCUUUAACCUUGGUUUGUUGAGAGUAACUGAAAUGACUCAUUCAAGAGUGUAAUUUGUUACAUUCAUCUGAAUAGACAUGUUUGAAAUAUCAUCUCGAGGUGUUUAAAUGAUUGGGAGAUAUGUUUGAAUGCAGAUAAAUAUAAUGUCACCAAGAGUGGUGAAGAACUUGCAGGUCGAGACUCUUCCUAAUGAGUGAAAGUCAUUCCAAUUGUUUAGUAAUUGAGGAAGAAUAAGUAAUAAAAUAAAUCAAUUAUAUACUGUUAAGAUAUUCAAUCACAAUAUGGAUAUUAAAAUAAAUCAAUUAAAUAUGUGAUGAACAAAUUCUAAAGAAAGAAAAAUUAAAGUGAGAAAGAUGCAAACUCUUUGUUAAAGAUUUUCAGCCAAAAUCUCGUACCUACGUCCUUUUUUCAUGGAUCACUUUGAGUUCUAUAUUAUUCAAAUAGUCUUUACAGUCUUAGAUUUUUUUUUAAAAAUCCUUAUCUUCUAAAAUCUCUAGUAAACUACUUCAACCAAGGUUACAAAUUCAUUUACAACGGUUUCUCUUUCAAAAAAACACUUACAAACAAGGGUUCACAAUCCCUUACAAAAAAUUAAUACAAGAUCUGAAUCUCUCUUUGAAGUACAAGAAUUUCUCUCACUAAUAAAUGAAUCUCAAUAAAGAAUUUGGAGAAUUCUUUCUUUUGUAGUUGUUACCCCAAAGGUAAACUGUUGAUUAACAUUAAAUUUAAUAUGCACUCCAUAUAGUAAGUGAGCAAAUAUAAUGAGAGUAAAUAGAGAGAGAGUGCAAACAGAUUUAUAGUAGUUCAGCCAAACGUUGCCUACGUUCACUCUUCAAGACCUCAUUUGGUUUUCACUAUCUUCACAAGCUUUUCGGGUGCUUGUAAACUUUUACAAUUGUCUUUUACUAGAAGUCCUUUAAUCUUCAAGAAAAUGACACUCUCUUAAAUUACAAUCAAUCACUUAAGGUGAUUCUCUCAAAAGAUUUAUAUUAUAGCAAUGAAUACUCACAAACACUCUAGUUGAAUAAUAAAUAUAAUCAAGGAUCUCCACAUUGAUUUUUAAAUUUUUUAUUUUAUAAAUUUAGCUCAAAUAAUGAUCAAGGUAUUGAAGAAUUGAAUGCAAGAGAGUUGAGAGAAAUUAAUACACUUCAAUUUGCUCUGCAAUUCUUUCCCAAUCAACUCCCCCAAGGUGAAGAAAGCUCGAUUCCAUCGAGUGUGAAGCUAGAUGACUCUGAUAAUACUUGAAUAGGUCUCUGUGUAAAUCAUUACUAGAAAUUCAUAAGUCAUCAGAAUUAGGACGUCCACGCUAACGAACCAAAAAGCGCUAAAUACCACUAUCCUUAGCAGAAAUAAUUUGCUCAUCCAAAAUAGUAUCAAUAUGUUCCUUAGAUGCAUAAAAAAUAAAAAAAAUUGUUGCAGAGAAAUUGUUGUUUUUGCUUGGAUGAGAUUUGUUCUAAUGUUUUGGAUAAAUUAUUUACGAAUAUAGAAUUUGAAUUGCUGUAGAAAAAGUUGAUAGUUAUUAUUUUGUAUAGCUUAUUUGAGAAAGCUAGUUAUUUUAAAUGAUGUGAUCCAUCUAAAAUUGUGUACCAAGUUUUCUUUCUAUUAUGAUUCUAUCUGACACUCUCCGUCACCUUUUUGGUUGCAGGUUUUUCCUAAAGAUAGAGGACGGUCUACUACAAUAUCAUCCAAGAUAUUAAUAGGGUAGUUAUUUUAGUAUUUAAGAGAUGUGUAUGUACAGUUAUACAUUUUGGGAUUUGUAUACUGAACUUGUU